UAUUCUGUGGCGGAGUUGGUUAACGCGCCCUGUCUAGCAAACUUGGGGAGACGUGGGUUCAAAUCCCACCAGAACUA
rfam:Aedes albopictus isolate Foshan contig95758, whole genome shotgun sequence.